rnacentral:rRNA from 1 species
GAUGAACGCUGGCGGCGUGCUUAACACAUGCAAGUCGAACGGAAAGGCCGAAGCUUGCUUCGGUACUCGAGUGGCGAACGGGUGAGUAACACGUGGGUGAUCUGCCCUGUACUUCGGGAUAAGCUUGGGAAACUGGGUCUAAUACCGGAUAUGACAAUCUCUUGGAUGGGGUUGUGGAAAGCUUUUGCGGUAUGGGAUGAGCUCGCGGCCUAUCAGCUUGUUGGUGGGGUAAUGGCCUACCAAGGCGUCGACGGGUAGCCGGCCUGAGAGGGUGUACGGCCACAUUGGGACUGAGAUACGGCCCAGACUCCUACGGGAGGCAGCAGUGGGGAAUAUUGCACAAUGGGCGCAAGCCUGAUGCAGCGACGCCGCGUGGGGGAUGACGGCCUUCGGGUUGUAAACUCCUUUCGCAACCGACGGAGCUUUUGUGACGGUAGGUUGAGAAGAAGCACCGGCUAACUACGUG